rnacentral:misc_RNA from 1 species
GAUGAAGAACGUAGCGAAAUGCGAUACGUAAUGUGAAUUGCAAAUUCAGUGAAUCAUCGAGUCUUUGAACGCACAUUGCGCCCCCUGGUAUUCCGGGGGGCAUGCCUGUCCGAGCGUCAUUGCUGCCCUCAAGCACGGCUUGUGUGUUGGGCCCCCGUCCUCCUCCCGGGGGACGGGCCCGAAAGGCAGCGGCGGCACCGCGUCCGGUCCUCGAGCGUAUGGGGCUUCGUCACCCGCUCUUGUAGGCCCGGCCGGCGCUUGCCGACACAUCAAUCUUUUUUCCAGGUUGACCUCGGAUCAGGUAGGGAUACCCGCUGAACUUAAGCAUAUCAAUAAGCGGAGGA